CGGGGUUUGCCUCUGCCAUCGCAGCAGGCAGCGUGUGUCGUGGUAAUCCAGAAGCUGCUCCAGAGGCCCCAAGGGCUUCCCAGCCAAGCCUGGGGUCACUGGCAUGUAAAAGGAUCCCGGCUCCAAAGGUUCAGGGAAGUGGGCAGAACGUAGAGAUUCCACAUCUCUGAGGUAAUCGAUGUAAUUUAAGUAAAUACCUAUUGUUCAAGUUCCAUAUGUAAGCCUGGACCCUGCAACGGAUUCAAUUACUGAAGGCUUCACACUCCUCUAAUCUGCAGCAGCAGCCAUCGAAUUGCACAUGAAUCUGCUUUCCCUCCCACCUUUGUAUGUACACCUGAGAGAUGGCAGACAUCUUACACACUGGGAACCUGCAGCCUCGAGAAGUUUGACAGCUCUAGUAUCAAGAUUUGUAAGGCUGAAACUUUGUCCCGGUUUUUAAUGUUUCCAUGUAUAUCUCAUGAUACGGGGAUUUUUGCAAAAGAAACAAAACUACAUUUUAGGCAGGAGUCAUGAGUAUGCAAGCCAGACUGACGAGUCUUAAGUAACUGCAAACAUUCAUGUGCCACUAUCAACUUGACUGUUUCAGACGUAUGGGGUGUGCAGAGCUGUGCAACGUUUUGUCGGCUUGUGCUCCAUUGAUCACUGCUGUUCCUUAAAGAAAUUACCAUGGGGAAACAAACAAAUGCUGCAGGAACACAGUUUUUUCUACAUGCAGAAGCAAGCAAACAAGCAAAGGAACAAAAUAUAGGAUAGACAUUACUUGAAGAUUUGCUCUCUUCAGAAGUGUCAGGGACUGAUUCUGCAUGUCAUAUGAGCACUGCAAGCUCCGGCAACCCUCAGUCUCUUCAUCAUUGGUUUUAAGUUGAGUGUGCACUGUGGCUGUACAUAAGCAAAUAAAAGUCCCUCCUUCACAAGUUUGGCUGGACUAUAUCUUAUAAGCUUAAAAGUAAGCUUAUAUCAAAAUAAGAGGUCUCCCAUUCAUCUACCCCGUUAUCUCCACAUGUAGCAAGGAACUUCUGGUGACCAUUUUUGGCAUUGGCAUUAGUGUAACUGUGGAUUCACCAGGAUUAGAGGACUGAUUUGGCUGAAACCCCUUAAAAAUUAUACCCCCCCCAAC